GCAGUGGUGGUUCAGUGCUAGAAUUCUCUCCUUCCGUGUGGGAGACCUGGGUUCAAUUCCCGGCCAAUGCA
rnacentral:tRNA from 1 species